rnacentral:rRNA from 1 species
AGGGAUAGGGUCGGUUCGGCCGGAUUUCACACAGGUGUUGCAUGGCUGUCGUCAGCUCGUGUCGUGAGAUGUUGGGUUAAGUCCCGCAACGAGCGCAACCCUCAUCCUUAGUUACCAUCAGGUAAUGCUGGGGACUUUAAGGAAACUGCCAGUGAUAAACUGGAGGAAGGUGGGGAUGAUGUCAAGUCAUCAUGGCCCUUAUGGAGUGGGCUACACACGUGCUACAAUGGUGGCUACAAUGGGCUGCAAAGUCGCGAGGCUAAGCUAAUCCCUUAAAAGCCAUCUCAGUUCGGAUUGUACUCUGCAACUCGAGUGCAUGAAGUUGGAAUCGCUAGUAAUCGUGGAUCAGCACGCCACGGUGAAUACGUUCUCGGGUCUUGUACACACUGCCCGUCACGCCAUGGGAAUUGGU